AUGCUUUACCUCAGGCUGGAGCACCAUGGCACCCUACCAGUUCCAAAAUGCAAAAGAUCUCCAGUGUGUGAACCUCAAGCUCCUGCCUAAUGAGGAGUGUGCCAAAACCGAGAGUGAAGGUGACAGAUGUCAUGCUGUAUGCAGGAGAGAUGGAUGGAAAAAAAAAAAAAAAAACACUUGCAAGGGAGACUCAGGAGGCCCACUGAUCUGUGAUGGUGUUCUCCAUGGUAUCACAUCGUGGCGAUUUAACCAAUGCAGAGAACGCAUCUACACCAAACUUAUUAAGUUCACCUCCUGGAUAAAAGACACUAUGGCAAAAAAAACAAAAACAAAAACAAAAACCCUGAGUGUCCAUUGUCCCCUGUUCUAAAUAAAACACACCACACAGUAAAA